CUUAAGCAAUCAGAAAAAACUGUAAUCAGGUAAAUGGACUGAUUCUUAUAUAGCGCUUUUCUACUCUCCAGAUUACUCAAAGCGCUGUAUACAACAUGCCACAUUCACCCAAUCCUCACAAGCACUGACUCUAAACUGAGUGCUGUCUAACCACAUUUACACACAUUCAUACUUCGAUGGAUGCAUCGGAGAGCAACUUGGGGUUAGUAUCUUGCCCAAGGAUACUUGGCAUGCAGACUGGAGGAGCCAGGGAUCGAACCUCCAACCUUCCUCCAACCUGGCACAGUGGUUGGGAAACACUGCUUUAGCUAGCAACAAACUGUGCUAAAAGUGUGCUAAAAAAAAAAAAAAAACAGCCCACUUUAACGUCUGACUAUGGCAGACAGUUUAGGCUCAAAUCGUUAUGAUGCUUGAAGGCCAGCAAUGGCGAGGAAUAACAACUCCCCUCCCCUCAAAUGUGUUAAAGUAAUGAGCCUGUUUUAAAAAUGUAAGGAGCAGAAAGUACAGAGUUGUUUAAAAAUGCAGAGAGUAAAAGUAAAAAGUUGUCAGAAAAAUAAAUACCCAGGUUUUCUACUUAAGUACAGUCACAAAAUAUUUGUACUUCGUUACUUCUCACCUCUGCAGAUUGUAAUAAAAAAAAGUGUAGUCAAGUUUAAUUUCAGCAAUCUAAUUGAUGUGAUUGUGCUUUUACUGUUUGUGACCUGUAGGUGGAGCCAUCCUUCUUUCUAAACAAAAUCAUCACCUUAAGUGACAUUCAGACCUUCAAAGCACGAAUCCAUAUGUAUCUGUACCUGCCGAUUUAUAGAAAUGGCCAAAUUGAUAAGACACCUCUCAUUUGUUUUUGUUGUUGUUUCAUAGGAGCCAGAUUGUAUUGGAAAGUGGUCUUGAGCAAUAGUUGUUCAGACUUUUUGAAGUUCUUCCAAAGUUUUUUUCAUUGUUUUGCUUCUUUUUUUACUGCUUUUUUACUCAUUUUCAGUCCAGUCCACAUACUUGGUCUUUUUCAGAGGAAUAUGCUUUUUGUUUGUUAUGUCAAUUAAUACUGACCUAUGAAUCGUUUAAACAUAAAAAGGCCACUAACUCGAGGGAUAAAUCAAUAUUUUGUCUACACAUAGCAAAGAACUAAUUUUAAUUUGUAUCUUUAGAAAAUUUUCUUUAGACACAGAUCAUUUGUUCCCAUUUCUAUAGCUGAAUCUAAUAACACAGUUUUGAUUCCCAAAGAGCAAUUAGCUGAAAAC
ensembl:lncRNA